AUGAACGCUAGCUACAGGCUUAACACAUGCAAGUCGAGGGGCAGCAUUUUAGUUUGCUUGCAAACUAAAGAUGGCGACCGGCGCACGGGUGAGUAACACGUAUCCAACCUGCCGAUAACUCCGGAAUAGCCUUUCGAAAGAAAGAUUAAUACCGGAUAGCAUACGAAUAUCGCAUGAUAUUUUUAUUAAAGAAUUUCGGUUAUCGAUGGGGAUGCGUUCCAUUAGUUUGUUGGCGGGGUAACGGCCCACCAAGACUACGAUGGAUAGGGGUUCUGAGAGGAAGGUCCCCCACAUUGGAACUGAGACACGGUCCAAACUCCUACGGGAGGCAGCAGUGAGGAAUAUUGGUCAAUGGGCGAGAGCCUGAACCAGCCAAGUAGCGUGAAGGAUGAAGGCUCUAUGGGUCGUAAACUUCUUUUAUAUGGGAAUAAAGUUUUCCACGUGUGGAAUUUUGUAUGUACCAUAUGAAUAAGGAUCGGCUAACUCCGUGCCAGCAGCCGCGGUAAUACGGAGGAUCCGAGCGUUAUCCGGAUUUAUUGGGUUUAAAGGGAGCGUAGGUGGAUUGUUAAGUCAGUUGUGAAAGUUUGCGGCUCAACCGUAAAAUUGCAGUUGAAACUGGGAGUCUUGAGUACAGUAGAGGUGGGCGGAAUUCGUGGUGUAGCGGUGAAAUGCUUAGAUAUCACGAAGAACUCCGAUUGCGAAGGCAGCUCACUAGACUGUCACUGACACUGAUGCUCGAAAGUGUGGGUAUCAAACAGGAUUAGAUACCCUGGUAGUCCACACAGUAAACGAUGAAUACUCGCUGUUUGCGAUAUACAGUAAGCGGCCAAGCGAAAGCAUUAAGUAUUCCACCUGGGGAGUACGCCGGCAACGGUGAAACUCAAAGGAAUUGACGGGGGCCCGCACAAGCGGAGGAACAUGUGGUUUAAUUCGAUGAUACGCGAGGAACCUUACCCGGGCUUAAAUUGCAACAGAAUAUAUUGGAAACAGUAUAGCCGUAAGGCUGUUGUGAAGGUGCUGCAUGGUUGUCGUCAGCUCGUGCCGUGAGGUGUCGGCUUAAGUGCCAUAACGAGCGCAACCCUUAUCUUUAGUUACUAACAGGUCAUGCUGAGGACUCUAGAGAGACUGCCGUCGUAAGAUGUGAGGAAGGUGGGGAUGACGUCAAAUCAGCACGGCCCUUACGUCCGGGGCUACACACGUGUUACAAUGGGGGGUACAGAAGGCGGCUACCUGGUGACAGGAUGCUAAUCCCAAAAACCUCUCUCAGUUCGGAUCGAAGUCUGCAACCCGACUUCGUGAAGCUGGAUUCGCUAGUAAUCGCGCAUCAGCCAUGGCGCGGUGAAUACGUUCCCGGGCCUUGUACACACCGCCCGUCAAGCCAUGAAAGCCGGGGGUACCUGAAGUACGUAACCGCAAGGAGCGUCCUAGGGUAAAACUGGUAAUUGGGGCU
rnacentral:rRNA from 1 species